AGGGUAGGAAUCCAAGCCCAGAUAAAACCUCCAAAAUGCAUUUGCUGGCCACUGCGGGGUAAGAGGAUGUUUCAGAGAGGCACUGCUGUCACCGUGCCAAGCCCAAAUGACUUCAGCUCCUUCUGUCGCUACGAAUUUAACAUGUAUGCACAGACUCUUGCGGGAUGAGACGAGCGGAGCACCGGCGCCGGGGAAGCCGGGCGAGGCGGCGCCGGUCUCGGGUAGCGAAUCCAGCGCCGAACGGUUCCGCCGGUGAAGCACAACGCUGCUGCCAUUUUGAUAUGUAUGCAGGAUGCCAGAAAUGCAGCAGCAUUUUGUCCCAGAAGACACCAUGCCCCCACCCCAGAGACACAUGUUGGAAAAACAUCACCGUCCCUCCCACACCUGCUGCCUCUCAGGCUGCCUCCCGCCUCUCAGGCUGCCUCCCGCCUCUCAGGCUGCCUCCCGCCUCUCAGGCUGCCUCCCGCCUCUCAGACUGCCUCCCGCCUCUCAGGCUGCCUCCUGCCUCUCAGGCUGCCUUCCCCUCGCCACACCCUCCACAUUUCCACUACUGCGUUCACGUGCCGCACACCAGACCUCCAGCAGCUCCGGACCUGCUGACGCCUCAUUUGUAAUGAAUCUCCACGCUACCUGCGACUGAAACAUCAGGAAGACAUUCAGAAAAAUAUGUUUAAAAGUAGUUCUUUUCAUGGGUGAAAGGAAGUCAUCCAGGAGACUAGGGCAAAGACAAUGCUGAUUUUAAAGGACAAAGCAACCUACUAGCUAAUUCUAUUCCUCAAGUAAGAUGUACCUCAUGCCAAAAUGCCCAAAACGUGAAAUGAUCCAUUAUUUUAGUUUGAAAUAUUUUGUGGUAGCACCACUACAGACCUACCUGAGCUACAGACCACCGAUUCCACAGUGUCUGUCCACCACCUAAGCUGCAGACCACUGAUUCCACAGUGUCUGUCCACCACCUAAGCUGCAGACCACCGAUUCCACAGUCUAACCACCAGCUGACCUACAGACCACUAACUCUACUGCACCUAUUGACCGCUCAUUCUAUUAUGUAUUGCAAUGUCCUGAAUCAUUAACACUGUGAUAUAAGACUAUAUUGUAUCUGCAUUGUUUAGACCAGAUGGAGAACACAACCUCUGGCAUGCUUGUUUUGAGGUGUAUGAUGACAUUUCCUGUACCGGGGCUGCUGGUAUAGGUGAGGAAUUCAUUAAACAAAAUUAAAGUCAAA